rnacentral:rRNA from 1 species
GUGGGGAAUAUUGGACAAUGGGCGCAAGCCUGAUCCAGCCAUGCCGCGUGAGUGAUGAAGGCCUUAGGGUUGUAAAGCUCUUUCAGUGGGGACGAUAAUGACGGUACCCACAGAAGAAGCCCCGGCUAACUUCGUGCCAGCAGCCGCGGUAAUACGAAGGGGGCUAGCGUUGUUCGGAUUUACUGGGCGUAAAGCGCACGUAGGCGGAUCGUUAAGUCGGGGGUGAAAUCCUGGAGCUCAACUCCAGAACUGCCUUCGAUACUGGCGAUCGUGAGGCCGGAAGAGGUGAGUGGAACUCCUAGUGUAGAGGUGGAAUUCGUAGAUAUUAGGAAGAACACCAGUGGCGAAGGCGGCUCACUGGUCCGGUACUGACGCUGAGGUGCGAAAGCGUGGGGAGCAAACAGGAUUAGAUACCCCUGUAGUCC